AGGGCUGUGGGAAGCCCACCAGUGGAGCUUCAUGAAGAGUGCAUUGCAUAAUUCUGCACCAUGUCCCUUGGAAAAGUCUGAGACUUGGACCAACAGUAGCCCUAACAGCUCUCCUUGAGCCUCAUGAGGGUGAGUACCCAGAGAGGAGUCCAGGAAACUGAAUCUACUCCAAGAUUUGGGCUACAAUCAUCUGCCCAAACUUAUCUGUAUCUUU
rnacentral:lncRNA from 1 species